GUCGAACGCUGGCGGCGUGCUUAACACAUGCAAGUCGAACGAAGUGGCGAACGGGUGAGUAACGCGUAAGCAACCUGCCCUUCAGAGGGGAACAACAGUUGGAACCGACUGCUAAUACCCCAUACUGAAGGAGGGGAUUGCGUCUGAUUGGCUAGUUGGAGGGGUAAUGGCCCACCAAGGCGAUGAUCGGUAGCCGGUCUGGGAGGUGGGACGGUCACAUUGGGAAUGGGGAACGGGCCCGAAUCCUACGGGGGGCAGCAGGGGGGAAUCCUCGGCAAUGGAGGAAAGUCUGGAGGAGCAAAGCCGCGUGAUUGAUGACGGCCUUCGGGUUGUAAAGCUAUGUUAAUCGGGACGCGGUACCGGAAUAGAAAGCCACGGCUAACUACGUGCCAGCCGCCGCGGUAAUUC
rnacentral:rRNA from 1 species